rnacentral:lncRNA from 1 species
UGUUAAGGUGGAUUGGUCUGAACCAUAUAAUUAAGAUAUUUAAAGCAUCCCUUGCAUCUUUCGUGCUCUAACCAGGUUAUUUCUCUUCCUCCUUAAAUGCUAAAUAAAUAUCUGGUGGGAACUGUUACUCAAAUAAGGCUUAACAAAUACUAGUAGGUCUCAAUAAUAAGCUGCGACCAGAUUUAGACUUCGUUUGGGAUUACAAGGAGAUUGCGUUACGUGCAGUGAAAAAGUAAAAAAAUGAAAAAAAAUAUCCUAUUUUUUUUGCCAUGCGUAAUAUUGCGCGCGUUCUGCAUAUCGCGAUGAGUCAGUUAUGAUAUAUUUCAUGCGGUCUCACCGGAGAACGCUGAAGUAUAUCCCUAUAUAUUUCUACUCUAACUCUAUUUUAUCUAAUAACGUCGGAUGGAGCUUAAUACCAAACUAAUAUUUAAGUAGUGCCCCCACGCUUUGGCCAAUGGAAGUUGCAACAGUGCUUUUGCAUAAAGCGAUUUAAGAAGAGCUUUUCAGAGUUGUGUUUAACAGAGCCAUAAUUGGAGAAGCAGUGGAAUCUAAUGCAAUAAAGGGCAAUUUUUGAGCAUCAUGAUUAACGGUGAUGUACCAUAGAGGAUGGAGCUGAGAAAUUUAGGCUUCGUUUGGAAUUGUGGAGAGAUUGUGUUACGUGCGGUGUGGAGAGAUUGUGUUCCGUACAUAAUAUUGUGUUCUGCAUAUCGCAAUAAAUCGAUUACGAUAUAUUUACUGCGGUCGCAUCGGAGAACACAGAAACAUAUCCCUAUAUACUUUUUCCUCAAUUCUAUUUUAUCUAAUAGCGUUUGAUAGGCCUCAAUACCAAAGUAAGUCUUACAUGUACCUCCCCACAGCUAAUAAGAUCAUCUAAAAUUAAA